ensembl:snRNA U6 U6 spliceosomal RNA
AUGCUCAGUUUGGCAGCAUACAUACAAAAAUCAGCUCAAAUCAGAAAAGACUAGCAUGGCCCCUGCUAAAGAAUGACAUGAAAAUUACCCAGAAGCAGUUGGGUUGG